CCAAAACGUCUAAUUCAUCCCAAUCAUCUUUCAUUUUAGAAUAAUAUGACGUAACAGACCUAGUUCCUUGCGUUAAGGUGGCAAUAUCAGUUCACAAGUGAUAGAUUGUAGUUAAGUUCGAUCUAUCAAAUCGCUCUUCAAAAUCUCGCCAUAACUUCUUAGCAUUAGACGCGUACACGAUACUGGCCAUUAACUCCUCUGAUACCAUGUGAGAUUUUUACAUGCAAUUCGUGAGAGAGGGAGAGAGGUUUCUAGAGAGAGAGAAUUGAGAUGAGAUGAGGAAGAAGA
rnacentral:lncRNA from 1 species